CAAUGUAUUGUCGGGGGCUGGUUGGAAUGGCGCAUCUGCGCUGUACUUGCCGGCCCUGUCUGCACAUUACCCCUGUUUUUUGCGUACCUACCUGUUUCCUCGGCAGGCUUGCCUGCCAGUGGACCUCUUAUAAACCUUUUUGUACUUGCAAUCAGCGUCAGAAGAUUUGAAUGGUUA
rnacentral:misc_RNA from 1 species